CACGAACCGUACGAACGUUAUUCGGAAUUACUGGGCUUAAAGAGUUUGUAGGCGGCCUUGUAAGUCAGGUGUGAAAUCCCUCGGCUCAACCGAGGAAUGGCGCUUGAUACUGCAAGGCUUGAGGGAGACAGGGGUAAGCGGAACUGAUGGUGGAGCGGUGAAAUGCGUUGAUAUCAUCAGGAACACCGGUGGCGAAGGCGGGUCUCUGGGCCGAUACUGACGCUGAGGAGCGAAAGCGUGGGGAGCGAACAGG
rnacentral:rRNA from 1 species